rnacentral:rRNA from 1 species
GACGAACGCUGGAGGCGUGCUUAACACAUGCAAGUCGAACGAUGAAAUGGAGCUUGCUCCAUGGAUUAGUGGCGAACGGGUGAGUAACACGUGAAUAACCUGCCCUUAAUUUUGGAAUAACCCAGGGAAACCUGGGCUAAUACCGGAUAAGUAAACCUGUGGCAUCACAUGGUUUUGGAAAGUUUUUCGAUUAAGGAUGGAUUCGCGGCCUAUUAGCUUGUUGGUGAGGUAAUGGCUCACCAAGGCGACGACGGGUAGCCGGCCUGAGAGGGGGAACGGCCACACUGGGACUGAGACACGGCCCAGACUCCUACGGGAGGCAGCAGUGGGGAAUAUUGCGCAAUGGACGAAAGUCUGACGCAGCGACGCCUCGUGAGGGACGAAGGUCUUCGGAUUGUAAACCUCUUUCAGCAGGGACGAAGCGAAAGUGACGGUACCUGCAGAAGAAGCGCCGGCUAACUAUGUGCCAGCCGCCGCGGUAA